ACGUCAAGUCAUCAUGGCCCUUAUGUCCAGGGCGACACACGUGCUACAAUGGCCGGCACAGCGGGAAGCGGAGGGGCGACCUGAGCGGAUCCCUUGAAAGCCGGUCCCAGUUCGGAGUUGCAGUCUGCAACUCGACUGCAUGAAGUUGGAAUCGCUAGUAAUCGCGGAUCAGCCAAGCCGCGGUGAAUACGUUCCCGGGCCUU
rnacentral:rRNA from 1 species